GACGAACGCUGGCGGCGUGCUUAACACAUGCAAGUCGAACGAUGAAGGGGAGCUUGCUCCCUGGAUUAGUGGCGAACGGGUGAGUAACACGUGAGCAACCUGCCCCUAACUCUGGGAUAACGCAGCGAAAGCUGUGCUAAUACCGGCAUACGAUCUAUGGAUGAAAGCGGGGGGACCGUAAGGCCUCGCGCGAUUUGGAGCGGCCGAUAUCAGAUUAGGUAGUUGGUGGGGUAAAGGCUCACCAAGCCAACGAUCUGUAGCUGGUCUGAGAGGACGACCAGCCACACUGGAACUGAGACACGGUCCAGACUCCUACGGGAGGCAGCAGUGGGGAAUUUUUGGACAAUGGACGCAAGUC
rnacentral:rRNA from 1 species